AAAUUGAAGAGUUUGAUCAUGGCUCAGAUUGAACGCUGGCGGCAGGCCUAACACAUGCAAGUCGAACGGUAACAGGAAGCAGCUUGCUGCUUUGCUGACGAGUGGCGGACGGGUGAGUAAUGUCUGGGAAACUGCCUGAUGGAGGGGGAUAACUACUGGAAACGGUAGCUAAUACCGCAUAACGUCGCAAGACCAAAGAGGGGGACCUUCGGGCCUCUUGCCAUCGGAUGUGCCCAGAUGGGAUUAGCUAGUAGGUGGGGUAAAGGCUCACCUAGGCGACGAUCCCUAGCUGGUCUGAGAGGAUGACCAGCCACACUGGAACUGAGACACGGUCCAGACUCCUACGGGAGGCAGCAGUGGGGAAUAUUGCACAAUGGGCGCAAGCCUGAUGCAGCUAUGCCGCGUGUAUGAAGAAGGCCUUCGGGUUGUAAAGUACUUUCAGCGGGGAGGAAGGGAGUAAAGUUAAUACCUUUGCUCAUUGACGUUACCCGCAGAAGAAGCACCGGCUAACUCCGUGCCAGCAGCCGCGGUAAUACGGAGGGUGCAAGCGUUAAUCGGAAUUACUGGGCGUAAAGCGCACGCAGGCGGUUUGUUAAGUCAGAUGUGAAAUCCCCGGGCUCAACCUGGGAACUGCAUCUGAUACUGGCAAGCUUGAGUCUCGUAGAGGGGGGUAGAAUUCCAGGUGUAGCGGUGAAAUGCGUAGAGAUCUGGAGGAAUACCGGUGGCGAAGGCGGCCCCCUGGACGAAGACUGACGCUCAGGUGCGAAAGCGUGGGGAGCAAACAGGAUUAGAUACCCUGGUAGUCCACGCCGUAAACGAUGUCGACUUGGAGGUUGUGCCCUUGAGGCGUGGCUUCCGGAGCUAACGCGUUAAGUCGACCGCCUGGGGAGUACGGCCGCAAGGUUAAAACUCAAAUGAAUUGACGGGGGCCCGCACAAGCGGUGGAGCAUGUGGUUUAAUUCGAUGCAACGCGAAGAACCUUACCUGGUCUUGACAUCCACGGAAGUUUUCAGAGAUGAGAAUGUGCCUUCGGGAACCGUGAGACAGGUGCUGCAUGGCUGUCGUCAGCUCGUGUUGUGAAAUGUUGGGUUAAGUCCCGCAACGAGCGCAACCCUUAUCCUUUGUUGCCAGCGGUCCGGCCGGGAACUCAAAGGAGACUGCCAGUGAUAAACUGGAGGAAGGUGGGGAUGACGUCAAGUCAUCAUGGCCCUUACGACCAGGGCUACACACGUGCUACAAUGGCGCAUACAAAGAGAAGCGACCUCGCGAGAGCAAGCGGACCUCAUAAAGUGCGUCGUAGUCCGGAUUGGAGUCUGCAACUCGACUCCAUGAAGUCGGAAUCGCUAGUAAUCGUGGAUCAGAAUGCCACGGUGAAUACGUUCCCGGGCCUUGUACACACCGCCCGUCACACCAUGGGAGUGGGUUGCAAAAGAAGUAGGUAGCUUAACCUUCGGGAGGGCGCUUACCACUUUGUGAUUCAUGACUGGGGUGAAGUCGUAACAAGGUAACCGUAGGGGAACCUGCGGUUGGAUCACCUCCUUA
rnacentral:rRNA from 1 species